GACGAACGCUGGCGGCGUGCCUAAUACAUGCAAGUUGAGCGCUGAAGGUUGGUACUUGUGCCAACUGGAUGAGCAGCGAACGGGUGAGUAACGCGUGGGGAAUCUGCCUUUGAGCGGGGGACAACAUUUGGAAACGAAUGCUAAUACCGCAUAAAAACUUUAAACACAAGUUUUAAGUUUGAAAGAUGCAAUUGCAUCACUCAAAGAUGAUCCCGCGUUGUAUUAGCUAGUUGGUGAGGUAAAGGCUCACCAAGGCGAUGAUACAUAGCCGACCUGAGAGGGUGAUGGGCCACAUUGGGACUGAGACACGGCCCAAACUCCGACGGGAGGCAGAAGUAGGGAAUCUUCGGCAAUGGACGGAAGUCUGAACGAGCAACGCCGCGUGAGUGAAGAAGGUUUUCGGAUCGUAAAACUCUGUUGGUAGAGAAGAACGUUGGUGAGGGUGGAAAGCUCAUCAAGUGACGGUAACUACACAGAAAGGGACGGCUAACUACGU
rnacentral:rRNA from 1 species